CAGGAAUGGAAAAGAAACAAGAAAAGGAAAAAAAACAGUGGAAGGAAAAUUGAAAGGAGCAGUAAAGAAAAGCAAAAUGGAAAGGGGAAAAGAAAAAAAGCAAAACUAGAAGGCAUAGCAAAGCAAUGAAAUACCGAGGAAAAGAAAAAACAGAAUGCGGUAUCAUGGCAAAGCAAAGGACUCAAAGAAAUUCAACAAGAAAAAACUGCCAUCCAAAAUUGUUCAAAGAAAAAAAAAGACAAUAAGGACAUAAGCAAAGCCACGGAAAGAAAAGCAAACAAGCAAAGAAGAAAGGAAACCAAAGCAAAGCGAGAAAGCCAUGAAGCCAUGCAAAGCAAUGCAAAGCAAAGGUAUGAAAGGAAAACCAAAGAGCAAAGCAAAGCAACAGAAAAAACAAUAAGAAGAAAGAAAAGGGACUGAAAAGGAAAGGAAACUAACGAUAAGUCAUUCGAUAAGAAGAGAAAGGGGAAGGAAAAAAAGGAAUGCAAAGAAAUGAACUGGAAGGAAGAAAACCACAUUAAGGAAAUGAACAAUGGAAAGCGAAGCAAGACGAGCAGUACAGAAAUCUGAAUUAGAAUUAGAAGGCAGAGCAAAGCAAAGCAAGUAAGGGCAAGGCUAGAGGAAGGAGACAGGCAAGGGGACAAGGAUACGGGCAAGGAAAAGAAGGCAAAGAAGAAUGCAAUUACAAAACAAAAGGGAAACUGAAAGGAGAGCACAGAAAAACCAUUUGAAAAGAGAAGAAAAUACAGAGAGACUUUUAGAACGGACAACAAUAAGGGAAAGGC
ensembl:lncRNA